rnacentral:rRNA from 1 species
GACAGAGGCCUCGAGCGUUAGGCGGAAUCACUGGGCUUAAAGCGUGUGUAGGUGGAUGCCUAAGUACCUUGUGAAAUCCCACGGCUUAACCGUGGAACUGCUGGGUAUACUGGGUGUCUUGAGCCACUCAGGGGCUACCGGAACAAAUGGUGGAGCGGUGAAAUGCGUAGAUAUCAUUUGGAACGCCAAUGGUGAAAACAGGUAGCUGGGGGUGUGCUGACACUGAGACACGAAAGCCAGGGAGCAAACGGG